AUUGAACGCUGGCGGCAUGCUUUACACAUGCAAGUCGAACGGUAACAGGCCGCAAGGUGCUGACGAGUGGCGAACGGGUGAGUAAUGCAUCGGAACGUGCCCAGUCGUGGGGGAUAACUACUCGAAAGAGUAGCUAAUACCGCAUACGAUCUAUGGAUGAAAGCGGGGGACCGUAAGGCCUCGCGCGAUUGGAGCGGCCGAUGUCAGAUUAGGUAGUUGGUGGGGUAAAGGCUCACCAAGCCAACGAUCUGUAGCUGGUCUGAGAGGACGACCAGCCACACUGGGACUGAGACACGGCCCAGACUCCUACGGGAGGCAGCAGUGGGGAAUUUUGGACAAAGGGCGCGAGCCUGAUCCAGCAAUGCCGCGUGCAGGAAGAAGGCCUUCGGGUUGUAAACUGCUUUUGUACGGAACGAAACGGCUCUGGUUAAUACCCGGGGCUAAUGACGGUACCGUAAGAAUAAGCACCGGCUAACUACGUG
rnacentral:rRNA from 1 species